UACAGCGGUCUCAAGCGUUGUUCGGAUUCACUGGGCGUAAAGGGUGCGUAGGUGGCCAGGUAAGUUCGAUGUGAAAUCUCCGGGCUUAACCCGGAAAGUGCAUUGAAUACUAUCUGGCUAGAGGGUUGGAGGGGGGACUGGAAUUCUCGGUGUAGCAGUGAAAUGCGUAGAUAUCGAGAGGAACACCAGUGGCGAAGGCGAGUCCCUGGACAACUCCUGACACUGAGGCACGAAAGCUAGGGGAGCAAACAGG
rnacentral:rRNA from 1 species